ensembl:processed_transcript smim1 small integral membrane protein 1
UUAGGGGCAGCAGAGAGCUGGAAAUGGAGUCCAAUGGGGCCAGUGUUCAAUAUAACCGCUGGAGUGAAGAUAACAUUACCUUACAAGAACCACAAUCACGCUCCAGACUGCUUGGAAUCUACAACAGAGUGUUCACUGGACGGCUGGUCAUCAUGUUCAAAAUAGCAGCAUCGUUGACAGUGAUGGUUGUCAUUUACAUUGCUGGAUACAUCACAGGGUUCUACGUUCACCAAUGUGGAUAAGAACUCUCUGUACUGAUAAAUAAUGAGAUAUUGGAAAGAAAACUGGUUGUUAUUUGCAAAGUGAAUUAGAUUUUUUAAACUAUACUAAUAUUUAGCUUUUAUUUUGUUUAAAUGUGCUACACAGAAUCACUUAACUUUAAAAAAUGACUAAUUUCUAAUUUUUAAUAAGAAAAAACAUGUUAAGACUCAAAAUUAAUGCACUGUCAUCAUUUAUGACUUGUUCUUUCAUUCUUGACUUGUUUCAAACCAGUUUUAGUUUCUUUGUUCUGUUCAACACAACUGAGUGUUGAAAUAUGUUGGUAACCAUUGACUUCCACAGUAUUCGUUUUUCCUACUGUGAAUGUCAAUGGUUACCGG